UCCGUUGUGGUGUAGUGGCUAGCAUUUGAGACUCUCACAUCCAGUCCAAAAGACUGGAAUGGGAACUCUCAGAACCCGGGUUCAAUUCCCGGCGACGGAA